AGUGAACGCUGGCGGUAGGCCUAACACAUGCAAGUCGAACGGCAGCACAGGAGAGCUUGCUCUCUGGGUGGCGAGUGGCGGACGGGUGAGGAAUACAUCGGAAUCUACUCUGUCGUGGGGGAUAACGUAGGGAAACUAACGCUAAUACCGCAUACGACCUACGGGUGAAAGCAGGGGAUCUUCGGACCUUGCGCGAUUGAAUGCGCCGAUGUCGGAUUAGCUAGUUGGUGGGGUAAAGGCCCACCAAGGCGACGAUCCGUAGCUGGUCUGAGGGGAUGAUCAGCAAAACUGGACCUGAGGAACGGUCCAGACUCCUACGGGAGGCAGCAGUGGGGAAUAUUGGACAAUGGGCGCAAGCCUGAUCCAGCCAUACCGCGUGGGUGAAGAAGGCCUUCGGGUUGUAAAGCCCUUUUGUUGGGAAAGAAAUCCAGCUGGCUAAUACCCGGUUGGGAUGACGGUACCCAAAGAAUAAGCACCGGCUAACUUCGUGCCAGCCGCCGCAGUAA
rnacentral:rRNA from 1 species